GACGAACGCUGGCGGCGUGCCUAAUACAUGCAAGUAGAACGCUGAAGGAAGGAGCUUGCUCUUUCUGGAUGAGUUGCGAGCGGGUGAGUAACGCGUAGGUAACCUGCCUGGUAGCGGGGGAUAACUAUUGGAAACGAUAGCUAAUACCGCAUAAAAUUGAUUAUUGCAUGAUAGUCAAUUAAAAGGUGCAACUGCCCCACUACCAGAUGGACCUGCGUUGUAUUAGCUAGUUGGUGGGGUAACGGCUCACCAAGGCGACGAUACAUAGCCGACCUGAGAGGGUGAUCGGCCACACUGGGACUGAGACACGGCCCAGACUCCUACGGGAGGCAGCAGUAGGGAAUCUUCGGCAAUGGACGGAAGUCUGACCGAGCAACGCCGCGUGAGUGAAGAAGGGUUUCGGAUCGUAAAGCUCUGUUGUAAGAGAAGAACGAGUGUGAGAGUGGAAAGUUCACACUGUGACGGUAGCUUACCAGAAAGGGACGGCUAACUACGUG
rnacentral:rRNA from 1 species